UUGAACAACACCGAGAGGCGGACGACAGAGGGACAGAGAGACACGCUGAGAGACAGAGAGAGAGAGGGAGGCAGCAACGGCAGGGGAGACGAAAGUGGAGAAGCCACAGAGGUUUUCUAUCACACAAUACACUUACUCUCGGUUUGUUUGUGCCUGUAACGGCAGCGAAUGGUUGUGUUUGACGGCUUCGAAGCAGCGAGCUUUAUUUUUUCACCCCCUCUGGAAAACGCGGACAAGGUGGAAAUGAAUAAAGGCGAACCUUCUCUGACGACAGCCACACAAGUGGAGGAAACGGAGGCGCGGGAUUAAAGGAAGACGUAUCCUGGUCAUUGUUCGCUGCUGCUGGAAGGGGAUUCCUCUCUGAUUUUUUUUUUUUGUACUACUCGAAAGUUUGGAAAGCCGUCAUCUGUUUGCAUUGCAGGUACACAGACAGGUCCAUGCUGAAUGAUUUCCGAAGCAGACUGCCUUUUUGAGUCUUCGGCCUUGAAAGCUCACUUCUAACAAGCUCCAGCUACAGAAAGGUCCAAAUGUGUCCAUGAGACUCUCUCAUCACUUCAAUCAGUGGGUAUUAUGUUAACCCUAAUUUAAACCCAUUUGUACCCCAUCCCCACCUUUCCCUCCCACCUCCUCUCCCUGUGCCCUCUCCCGUCUCCAUCAUGACCAGUCUGAAGCGUUCUCAGACAGAGCGCUCAGUCGGGGGCACAGUGCCCGCAUCUGACGAGUUCUACACUCGCCGCCUGAGACUUCCCAAUGGAGGAGCGCCCCCUCCCCGUAGCGAGAGCGCCCACAUUUCCUCUUCCUCCACCACUGGCACCAACCCUGGCGUGCCCAAGAUGGGUGUGAGGGCUCGCGUGGCUGACUGGCCACCCAGGAAGGAUGGGAGUGGAGGAGGUGUUUGGCAUAUUACUGUGGAAACAGACUCACCCAGCUCCACCAACACCACCAGCUCUUCUGGGUCUGGAUCUGGAUCUGGAUCUGGAAGCGGAGAUAGAGAAAGACUAAGUGGAGGUGGAGGAGGAAGUGGAAGUGGAAGUGGUGGUGGUGGUGGUAGUAGCAGUGGAGGUGGAGGUGUGUCAGCUGUCUCAGCCCACAGCAAUCUGUCAGCUAAAUUGGGCCACCUAAUAAGCCCACAGGACUCAUCCAUGCUGCGCAACAUCCAGAACACACUAAAGAACAAGAUGCAUAGCAAAGGAAAGGACAAUCGCUUCCUUUCACCAGAUGGCUAUCUGGGCUCACCUCGCAAAGGCAUGAGACGAAUCCGCCAACGCAGUAACAGUGAUAUAACUAUUAGUGAGCUGGAUGGGGACGGCAACGAGGGCUGGUCUUUCUCAGGGUGGACGCCCAUGCACCGUGAGUAUGGUAGCACUUCGUCCAUUGACAAACACGGUGUGUCUGGAGAAAGUUUCUUUGACAUGCUAAAGGGAUACCAGUCCUCCGAGGCCCCCGAUCAGCGAAGCCCAGCCCCCGAGAGGCUAACUGAACUUCUGACUGUGGCCCCCAUAAAACAGGCUGCACUUGACCUGCCAGACGGUCCAGCCAGAGGUAGUCCUGCCAGUCGGCUGAAGGAACGAGAGAAGCACUUAAAGAGGAGGUCUAAGUCCGAGACAGGUGGAGAGUCUAUAUUCCGUAAGCUGCGUAGUGUGAAGGUGGAGGGUGACACAUCAAGGGCUGGCUCCGAUGCUGAAGAUGGGGGGAAGGCAGACGAAAGUGGCCCGCCCCCAAAACCCUGGGUGUGCCAAAAAGGCUUUGCCCAUUUUGACAUUCAGUCUCUACUCUUUGACCUCAAUGAGGCAAUCCAAAGUCGGCAGUCUGGGGCCAAGCGCAAGAACACCACGACCGGUGCUUCGGCUGCCGCCGCCGCCUCUGCUUCCGCCACGUCCUCCCUCUCCUCCAAUCAAAGCGGUGCAUACGGUUCACCCUGUGGCUCACAGGAGGAGCUGAGCAAGGAGGGGGCAGGACACGGUACCAACCCUGCCUUAGACCCCGGUGACGACAAGAGCAACGACCUGGUGCUGAGCUGUCCUUGUUUCAGGAAUGAGAUUGGUGGAGAGGGCGAGAGGAACAUCACUCCAGUUAAACCGCAGGGCAGCAUAGGCAGUGGUGGAAACUCAAGCAGUUCGUCUGGCAGUACAGAAGAAGGACCUCUGGAUGCCAUCCUCAAUACUCAUUUUACCAAUGCUGGGGUAGCCGUGCUGGAAGCUCCCAAGGACGGGCCAAGUCAGCAUGCCGACCGGUCCAAACGAUACAUUGUGGAACACGUUGACCUUGGCGCCUAUUACUACAGGAAAUACUUCUACCUCAGAGAACACUGGAACUAUCUGGGUGUAGAUGAGAACCUGGGUCCAGUGGCAGUGAGUCUCAGGAGGGAGAAGCUGGAAGAACACAAGGAGCACGGCCAACAGUACAACUUCAGGGUCAUCUUCAGAACGAGUGAGCUUAAUACUCUGAGAGGUUCCAUCCUGGAAGACGUGGUACCUUCCACGUCCAAGCACGGCCUGGCUCGGGGCCUGCCCCUCAAAGAGGUGCUGGAGUACCUGGUGCCCGAGCUAAACGUCCACUGCCUGCGGCUGGCACUCAACACGCCGAAGGUCACGGAGCAGCUGAUGAAGCUGGACGAGCAGGGGCUUAGUUUCCAGCGGAAGGUGGGGGUGAUGUACUGCAUGGCGGGCCAGAGCAGCGAGGAGGAGAUGUACAACAACGAGUCCGCCGGUCCCGCACUGGAGGAGUUCCUCCAUCUGCUGGGGGAGAGGGUCAGGCUCAAAGGCUUCACCAAAUACCGAGCUCAGCUGGACACCAAGACUGACUCGACAGGCACACACUCCCUGUACACCACUUACAAGGACUAUGAGAUCAUGUUCCAUGUGUCGACCAUGCUGCCCUACACUCCCAACAACAAACAACAGUUACUGCGGAAACGCCACAUUGGGAACGACAUCGUCACGAUUGUGUUCCAAGAGCCCGGCGCUCUUCCCUUCACGCCCAAAAACAUCCGCUCCCAUUUCCAGCACGUCUUUGUGAUCGUGCGAGCCCACAAUCCCUGUUCGGACAACAGCUCCUACAGUGUGGCGGUCACUCGUUCCAAAGACGUGCCGUCCUUCGGCCCCCCGAUCCCAGAAGGCGUCACCUUCCCCAAGUCCUCAGUGUUCCGGGACUUCCUGCUCGCCAAGGUCAUAAAUGCAGAAAACGCCGCUCACAAGUCGCACAAGUUCCGUGCCAUGGCCACGCGGACGCGCCAGGAGUACCUGCGCGACCUGGCCGAGCGCCACACCACCAGCACGCCCAUCGAUCCCUCCGGAAAGUUCCCCUUCAUCUCGCUGGCUCACAAGAAAAAGGAGAAGAGUCGGCCGUACGCGGGCGCCGAACUGCGCAGCCCCGGGGCGGUGACCUGGCUGGUCCACGCCGAGGAUCAUGGGAGCGGGGGAGAACUUGAGGCUCUCCUGGCCUUCUCCAAUGACUUUCUCAUCCUGUUGGACCAAGACGCCAAGGCUGUGGUGUUCAACUGCGCCACGAAGGACGUGAUCGGCUGGAUGCUGAGCAGCCCGGCGUCUUUGCGGAUUUUCUACGAGCGCGGGGAGAGUCUGUCCCUGAGGAGCGUCAGCAAUAACACGGAGGAUUUUAAAGAAGUGGUCAAACGUCUGGAGCUGCUGACCAAAGGCUGUGAAACAUCGGAGAUGACGCUUCGCCGAAAUGGCCUCGGGCAGCUCGGCUUCCACGUGAACUAUGAAGGCAUCGUGGCUGAGGUGGAGCCGUACGGCUACGCCUGGCAGGCGGGACUGAGGCAGGGGAGCCGAUUGGUCGAAAUCUGCAAAGUCGCCGUGGCAACGCUGACCCACGAGCAGAUGAUCGACCUUCUCCGAACGUCGGUGACCGUGCGCGUCGUUAUCAUCCCGCCACACGACGACGCCACUCCGCGCAGAGGCUGCUCGGAGCUCUAUCGCAUGCCCAUGUCCGAGUACAAGAGCAGCAGCAGCGACAGCGGCUCCUUCGAGUACAAGUUCCCCUUCCGUAGCAACAACAACAAGUGGCAGAGGACGUCCAGCAGCCCGCAGCAGUCGCUGACCGCCUCGCCGCAGCCGCACACGCCCAACCGCGCCAUCAGCCUGGGCAGCUCUGUGGGGAAGACGCUGUCCGCCGAGAGGCUGGAGAGGGGAGCGGUCAUCCCGCGCAGCGUCAGCAGUGACGGACGACCCCUGGACCCCAAAAGGAUGUCUCCAGGCACCGAAAGCUAUAGCCUGGUCUCCUCCCUGGCACUGGGACGCUCUCCGCACAAUCGGAGCUCUCCGAGCAACUUGUCUUGUUCCAGUGACGCCUCCGGAAGCUCUGCUCACUGGAGACAGAAGUCCAUGCCUGAACAGUUUGCUGGUCCCCGUCAUUCUCCCAUGUCGACGGAGAGGAGAGAGGAGGGCGGCUCCAGCGGAAAGUCCACUCCCAACUGGUCAAGAAUGGAGGAAGGUGGAGGAGGAGGAGGAGGAGGAGGAGGAGAACGGGGUUCGACCGAGACUCCGGUUUCCAAGUCUGGUCAAGGUUACUCUGGAGCUCCUCGCAUCCAGAGGCAAGAGCAGGUCAUCCACAUUUCCCCGAAGAAGGGAAGCCAGUCGGACGGCCCUUACUCCGGCCACUCCAGCAGUAACACUCUGUCCAGCACGGCCUCGAGCGGCGCACACAGCGACAGUGACAAAUGGUAUGAGAUGGGAGCGGGCGGAGGCUCCAGCGGCGACCCGGGCGACCCUGAACCCAACGGCCUGGGCGGAGGAGGCUACCUGCAGGGGGCGUCCGCCGACAGCGGCAUCGACACCAGCUCGUACGGCGCCUCGCACCACUCCCACCCGCACUCUCACCACGGCAGCACCACCUCCCUGCUGGCGCCCAGCGGGAGCAGGGAGAGCAGGGAGAGGUCAGCCUCUCCGUGGCACAGCCCCACCGAGGGAGGCCGCAGGAUGCUGGAGAGGUCGCCCGCCGCUGCCGAGUCCCCUGGCCCUCCAGGAGAGCGGAGCCUGGAAGGCACCGGGCGCAGCCCACCGACUCAUCUCCUCAUCAGAGAUAGCAGCACUUUCAGUCUGAGUGAUGCCGGAUCACACUCGAGUUCCAGGCACUCGGCUCACAGUUCCCCCAGAGAGGAGUCCUCGUCCUCGGCCACCUCCCCGUCGUCCCAGUCCUCGGUGUCUCCCGGGCCCAAGAGCUUCUACCCGCGUCAGGGAGCUCAGUCCAAGUACCUGAUUGGCUGGAGGAAGCCCGGCUCCACCAUCAAUUCUGUCGACUUUGGCGACACACGCAAGAAGUCUCCAGGCGAGGGUGGACUGGACGUGAUUCCGACCCCUGCAGCCAGGCCCUCUCUGCGGGAUAUGCACUUGCCCCAGCCUCAUGCUAAAUCUAUUAUGGAGGAAGAUGUGAAGAGGCACGCCACUCCAGACAGCCCCCCACCGCCACGCAGACACAAGGACAAGCAUCAUGUCCAGAAGUCACCACCGAGCCAGCCUCUCAGUCGCCGCCGCUCCCUCCACCGCACGCUGUCGGACGAGAGCAUCUACCGCGGGCAACGCCUCCCGUCGCUGUGCGACUCCGUGAUCGAGCCGGCGCUCGGUUCCGACGUUCUCUUCAGCUGCUCCACCCUCCCGCGCUCGCCCACCACCCGCGGUGUUCCUCUCCGACGACCCUCGUACAAGCUCGGCGUCAAGCUUCACGGUGACCUUUCAGCGUCCGACACGUCACUGGUGGAUCUGGUGGAGCGUCACCGUGGACCCCUCCCACAGGAGCUGAUGCCCCUCCCAUCCGGAGACAGGGACAGCCCCCUGGAGUGGACACACCUGGUGGACGUGGCCAGCACCUUCGAGAGUGAACGAAACACACACUACGUCCAGAGGAGUUAUGUGUUUGGGGAUUCAAACCAUCGGAGCAGCGGCGCGUCCAGCCCGCAGCAGCCUCACAUAGAGCUGCAGCCUGCUCCACUGUCUCGACCCUCGUCCAGUGAGGGCCACAUAGGGCUGGAGAGGAAGGUGACUAAACUGGAGGCCAUCGUGAAGAUGCUCCAGGAAGACUUGAAGAAGGAGCGUGAGGAAAAGGUGCGUCUUCAGGCUCAGAUCAAGAGGCUGUGGGAGGACAACCAGCGGCUGCAGGAGGAGUCCCAGACCUCUGCCGCCAAACUCAAGAAGUUCACAGAGUGGGUCUUCAACACCAUCGACAUGAACUGACACACUUAUCUCUCUCACACACACACGCACACGCACACGCACACGCACACGACUUCUCACAUCAACACACACACACACACACAGUCUGGACGGAGACACGGAGGUGGUCAACGCUAUUAGCUUCAUUUAGCUUGAUGCUAAAAAAUCUCCCACCUCCACUUCCAUUGGCCUUUUUUUUCCACACAUGAAGGAGUUUUUAUAGCCAACCCAGUCUCAGUUUCCAGCCGUCGACUCUGUUUAUCUUCUCAGGAUGAGGCCCGAGUUUAUGAAGGACUGACCUCUGUCCUCCUGUGGGACCACGAGAGUGUUGCUGAAUUGACCUUUUUCUCUCAUCUCCGCUGUGCCAAAUGUGAUUUUUUCCUUUUUUGUGUGUGUGUGUGCAAAAUUACAAAUGAAAAAAGGCCCUCCUCCUCCUCCUCCUCCUCAAUUUUGCCUCUUCCAGUUGACAUGAUUCUCAUUUUAAGGCGACCUUGCUCUGAACGGUGACUGGCGUGUGUUUGUGUCCAAAUCAAAGUAAACCCACGGCAGCCGAGGGAAGCUGAGGUUUGCAGGUGACGGCGGUUGGAGGAAGUUCCCCCCUGAAAAAAGCCACGCAGAGUCAAGACAGACAUGCAGUCGCUGAUCAGAGCAGAGCAGGCUGGACGUUGUGUGUCAGUGGUCAGUGAACG